UUAAUAAUGUGAUGUUUUACGAUCGCAUUUAGUGAUAGUAAGACAAAGUUAUAUCAAUCUUCAAAACAAGUAUUAUUGAAGUAAUAUCCCGGGGCAGAGGGACAAUAUUGACGUAAUAUCCCGGGGCUGAGGGA